AUGAUGGACUAUAGGACAGGACUGCUGCUUUUAACCAUCUGCUGCUGGACAGGUGUUGAUGGUCAGACUCUGACAGAAUCUGAACCAGUGAUUAAAAGACCUGGAGAAUCCCACAGACUGACCUGUACAGCCUCUGGAUUUAACUUUGCGGGCUCUUGGAUGGCCUGGGUCAGACAGGCUCCUGGAAAAGGACUAGAGUGGAUCGCUAUUAUCAGAUAUGACAAUGCUGAGAUCUACUACUCUCAGUCAGUUCAGGGCCGGUUCACCAUCUCCAGAGACAACAACAGACAGCAGCUGUAUCUGCAGAUGAACAGUCUGAGGACUGAAGACUCUGCUGUUUAUUAUUGUGCUCGAGAGCCACAGUGA